UUUUAUAAUAUACACCUAAAGUAUGUUUCAGAAUGUCAUUUAAUGGGCAUAACUGCCUUUAAUUACCAUACAACUUUCAACAACGGAUCUCUUGGCUCUCGCAUCGAUGAAGAACGCAGCGAAAUGCGAUAAGUAAUGUGAAUUGCAGAAUUCAGUGAAUCAUCGAAUCUUUGAACGCACCUUGCGCUCCUUGGUAUUCCGAGGAGCAUGCCUGUUUGAGUGUCAUUAAAUUCUCAACCUUUUCAAUCUUUUAUUGGUUGAAUUAGGUUUGGAUGUGGGAGUCUUUUUGCUGGCUUCUUUAAGAGGUCGGCUCUCCUUAAAUUUAUUAGCAGGACCUUUGUUGCCCUCUCAGUGUUAGUGUGAUAAUUAUCUACGCUAUUUGCUGAAAGCAACUCAUAAAAUAGGGUUUCCGAGCUGCUA
rnacentral:rRNA from 1 species